AUUGAACGCUGGCGGCAGGCCUAACGCAUGCAAGUCGAGCGGAUGAAGGGAGCUUGCUCCUGGAUUCAGCGGCGGACGGGUGAGUAAUGCCUAGGAAUCUGCCUGGUAGUGGGGAUAACGUCCGGAAACGGGCGCUAAUACCGCAUACGUCCUGAGGGAGAAAGUGGGGGAUCUUCGGACCUCACGCUAUCAGAUGAGCCUAGGUCGGAUUAGCUAGUUGGUGGGGUAAAGGCCUACCAAGGCGACGAUCCGUAACUGGUCUGAGAGGAUGAUCAGUCACACUGGAACUGAGACACGGUCCAGACUCCUACGGGAGGCAGCAGUGGGGAAUAUUGGACAAUGGGCGAAAGCCUGAUCCAGCCAUGCCGCGUGUGUGAAGAAGGUCUUCGGAUUGUAAAGCACUUUAAGUUGGGGGGAAGGGCAGUAAGUUAAUACCUUGCUGUUUUGACGUUACCAACAGAAUAAGCACCGGCUAACUUCGUG
rnacentral:rRNA from 1 species